rnacentral:rRNA from 1 species
ACGCGUGGAACCUUACCAGGUCUUGACAUCCCGCUGCCCGGUAUAGAGAUAUACCUUUCCCUUCGGGGACAGCGGUGACAGGUGGUGCAUGGUUGUCGUCAGCUCGUGUCGUGAGAUGUUGGGUUAAGUCCCGCAACGAGCGCAACCCUUGAUCUUAGUUGCCAGCAUUCAGUUGGGCACUCUAAGGUGACUGCCGGUGACAAACCGGAGGAAGGUGGGGAUGACGUCAAAUCAUCAUGCCCCUUAUGACCUGGGCUACACACGUGCUACAAUGGAUGGUACAAAGGGCUGCAAGACCGCGAGGUCAAGCCAAUCCCAUAAAACCAUUCUCAGUUCGGAUUGCAGGCUGCAACUCGCCUGCAUGAAGCCGGAAUCGCUAGUAAUCGCGGAUCAGCAUGCCGCGGUGAAUACGUUCCCGGGCCUUGCACACACCGCCCGU